rnacentral:misc_RNA from 1 species
GUAUAUAUAUCCAUAUAUAGUUUAACGUGUUGUUGCUUAUAUGUAGUUGUCCUCAUCGAAGUGCUGCGCCGGUUCUUAUUUCGCCCCUCUCGCUGUCUUGCUGCCCUUUUCUUGACUCCUCGUUCUCCUCCUCCUUUGUUGUUAGCUUCGCCUCCACUCCAGCCAUCGUCGUCGUCUCAGAAUGUCCACUGUGGUCCUCAGCAACCUCCCGAUGGGAUGCAUCGAGUCUGACAUCCAUCGGGCUUUACUCAUGUACGGCACCGCCGUGAACAUUGAGAUGAAUUCGCACGCAUCACAGGCCACUGUGACGAUGCGCACAAAGCAGGAGGCGCAGGCGCUGCUGAAUCGCCGCUCUGUGAACGUCAUUGGCACCUCGGUCCGCGUAGACGCUCAGGUGCAGGCUCCACCUCCACCGCAGCAGCUCCAGCCACAGCAUCAGCAUCAGCCGCCUCAACAGCAGCAGAUGGUGCCCCAGCCACCACCGCAUCUGCAGCAGCAACAGGUGGGGAGUUACGGGUAUGGGUCCGGCAAUGUCGGGCAGCAGCAACAGCCCAUCUAUGGCAACAUGGCACCGCAGCAGUAUCCCCAGCACGAGCUCAAUCAUCAGCCGCAGCACUUGCAACAGCAGUAUGCGCAACCGCAGCCGUCGUACCCGCAACAGCCGCAACAGAUGCCCUUGCAGUCGCCACCGCAAAGCACGGGCAGCUACGUACCAAACACCAGUCACCGAAGCGGCAGCAGCGGCCAGGCAAUUAUGCCAGUGCCUCCGCAGCCCUCUCGGCGUCUGCGUGUUCUGGUGGAGGACUGUCGCUACCCGAUCACCCGCGACGUGCUCAUGCAGAUGUUCAGCAUGAUUGCCCCGCCCGUUAGCGUGUCUUGUGGCCCGUACGGCCCGACUACCACCGGCGCGGUCGAAUUUGCGGACGCGACGGCGGCGCAACAGGCCAUGGAUCAAUUCCACAACAACGCCAUCUACCCCAACUGCUGCUACGUCAAGCUGUUCUUUGAGCCGAUGUGGGACCGAGUCGACCCGGUGCAGCCGCCUAUGCAGUCGCACCAACCGCACUCGUACGGCGGCAGCAACAGCGGCUAUGGCUACCCCGCACAGGGCCCCACUAACGCGCCGCCAUCGGUGCAAGCGAAUCCGUACAGCGUCGCACCGCAUGGCCCUGCGCAAUCGGACGCGUACGGAGCUGGCUGGGGCGGCAGCGAUGGAGCCCAAUAUUACGGUGGUUCCGUCCAGUCGAGUGCCGCACCGCCGUCGCAGCCGGGGCAGCCCGCAACCGAUCCUUUCGGCCGCCGCCGAGGCGGCUGCGGUGCCGGUUCUGAUUCUGCCAACGACAACGACCCUGCGGCGCAACAUGGCAGCGAGAGCAGGGCUACUCGUGGCAUGGCGCCUGGGCCGAUGGUGAGAGGUGGCCGGGGUGCCAUGCGAGGUGGCAUCGGCGGUCGUGGCAGUGGUACGGGGCUCGGGGCUGCGACCGGCUUCAGCCCGUUCGAACCCUCAGGCGCACCGCCGGCGCGGGGUGGCGGUGCUGGCGUCGGACGCUAUCCGGGAUUGGAGACGAACGGCUGCACCGUCAUGGUUAGCUGUGUGAAUGAGUCGGUUCCUUUGUACGACCUAUGGGUGCUAUUGGAGGUGUUUGGCAACGUGAACUCCUUGAAGCGACAGUUUCGCGAUCGCACGAACGUGGUGGCGCAGUUCCAGCACCCCGGCGACACCCUGACGGCGAUUCAGUACCUGCAGCACUGCCCGUUUCGCGGUAGUGUGCUGCGUCUGAAGCGCUUCAGCGGCUACCAAGAUCGGGAUACCGAGUGGGAAACAAAGUCAUCGACCGAUCCGGCAACUAUGGCUGCUCUCUUCACCACGGGCUACCACCACCGCACGGCGCCGCGAGCGCCGGUGAACGUGCGAGGCCGCGUGCACCCGGACAAGAACCUAUACAUCACCAACCUCACUGAGGCCAUCUCGGACGACGAGCUGAAGGGGAUCAUGAAGGAUGCAGGCUUUGAGCCGCAUGCGUUCUUCCGUCGCGGCCCGAAAGGAGCCAUUGUCGCCUACAAGGACACGGAGACGGCAGUGGAUGCGCUCAUCGCGUUACACGCCAAGGAGGUGCGGGAGCGCUUCCUCCGGGUAACCUUUUCGCGCUUCCCACCCGGCCCGCGACCCUCGCGCGACGGCGUCGACAAGGGAGACGACGACGACGACGGGGAUGCGGAGCAGCGCGACGGGCAGCAGGAGACGCAGUCAGAGCCGCCGCCGCAGCAGCAGCAGGUGCCUGAGCCGUCGCAGUUGAAUGAGCCAGCUCCUCAAGAAUCUGCCGAGCCGCCGGCGCCGCCACCACAGGAGCCUGAGCCUGCUCCGGAGGAGGCGGAUGGCGGCGAGGUGGAGUCGGCCGUACCUGAGGCGGCUCCAAAGGUGGCAAAGGUAAAGGCGAAGCCUUCAAAGAGGUAGAAGCGCGGUGUAUUCCUGCAAGGCAGCUGCACCUGUGUUGCGUUAGGUCGUCCUCGGCGCUGCAAGGGGUGUGACACGUGCGCAGAGAUGAAGAGCGGCUGGGAGAGACUGGCACACCAAAUCGGUUGAGGAUCGGUGUCGGGUGUGCGCUGCGUGGGAUGAGCCUGAAUCGGAGCCGACGGGUACAGUCACUGCCGCUGACGAUGUCAUCAGGGAACACUCGUUUUGUUUCGUUGUGGUACUCUCGGGCCUGGGGCCGCUUUUUUUCUUCUUGCGGGAUAAU